GAUGAACGCUGGCGGCGUGCCUAAUACAUGCAAGUCGAGCGAAGCGGGGACGGGUGAGUAACACGUGGCUAACCUCCUAUAAGACUGGGAUAACUUCGGGAAACCGGAACUAAACAGGAUACUUACAGAUGGAUCCGCGCUGCAUUAGCUAGUUGGUAAGGUAACGGCGUACCAAGGCAACGCUGCAUAGCCGACCUGAGAGGGUGAUCGGCCACACGGGAACGCAGACACGGUCCGGACUCCUACGGGAGGCAGCAGUAGGGAAUCUUCCGCAAUGGGCUAAAGCCUGACGGAGCAACGCCGCGUGAGUGAUGAAGGUUUUCGGAUCGUAAAACUCUGUUAUUAGGGAAGCGGUACCUAAUCAGAAAGCCACGGCUAACUACGUGCCAGCAGCCGCGGUAAUUC
rnacentral:rRNA from 1 species